rnacentral:lncRNA from 1 species
GCGAGAUGAGGCGGGAACGACGCGGCGCGCGCGGAGGGCGGGCGGCCCCUGAGGGACGGUGGAGCGCGCACGCAGCCUCUGCGAGCGCUGUGGGUGUUACAGAGGCUGUAGAGUGAAGGCGGUGCGAUAAGUGCUACCAGAAACCCCGUGAGGGGCGAUCAGUCCUCUUAGAGAUGCUGAUUCUGCUCAAGUACCGAAGGAGACAAAGAAACGUGCAACCUUUUCAACCGGGAAGAUGCACCCACUGCUGCGCCGGCUCCAUCUUGUGGCCAAACGUACAUAUAUAGAUAUAUUUUAAUUAGAUAUCCGAAUCCUCUUACUAUAAUUCUUAUAUGAAUACUGAUAAACAAGUGUGUGAAUUUCCUUCAUGCAUUUUAUAAUAAAUGGCUUGAAUGUUUCUGGUAACUGAAAAAUAGGGAGUCUGAUUAAAGAUAAGAUCAGUGCAAGCAAGCAUUGCCUAUUUUCUUGUAUAAUGCUACAAAUAUUCUGGCUGAUUUAUUUGUUUGCGUCUCCAGAUGUUUUUCACGUAACUGUCAUUAAAUGAAAUGAUAGCAUUUGAACUUUCACACUCUUGCCUAUGCAGCUCAUCCUGCCAUCCCUGAAUCUGAGCAAAUACAUUCAGU